UAGUUGGUUUUGAAAAUUUUAAUAUCACAAGAUAAUGAUGUGUAUUCCACAUGGUAUAUUGGUAUGAGAUAAUUUUAUUUAUUAUUUUUAGCUAUUUGGCUAGUUGCCCAGUGAUCAUGUGUCUGCCUUAUAGUGCUGAAGUCAGAUGUUAAAUGCCUAGUAUCUCCUUUCCUUUUAAAAAUAUCUCAUUUGCCAAUUAAAAGGAGAAAGAAGAAAAUUAAAAGAUGUUUCUUGGUUCAAGAACGAUAUGUCUUAGUGGCAAUUUAUUAUUAUAAAAUAUUA
rnacentral:misc_RNA from 1 species